AUGGUAGUGCAGAAGGUACAGGAAGGUACAGAAGCAAUACCAUGGAAAGCAAGUGAGAAAUAUCCUCAAUUUUGGCAGCUCUUGAGGGAGGAAACUUUGGGCACUCCACAGAAGGGAGGACAUGAAAUAUUACCCCAAAGGGACCGGCAAAGCUCCAGAUAUCUGCCUUCAGGGUCACUCUGGGACACUCUGAAGUCUUACGGCCUCGGAGACUGUUUCCUCGUACAGAGUACCAUAAGGAUGACACUGGAGCUGGAGGUGGCUGGAAGAAUCACCACAUUUACGCUCCCUUCCUCUCUCAGUUGGGUUGGAGAGCACACAUAG
rnacentral:lncRNA from 1 species